UUACGACCAUAUCACGUUGAAAUCCCGAUUUUCGUACGAUCACCGAAGUUAAGCAACGUCGAGCCUCGUUAGUACCGAGGUCGUUGACCGCUUGGGUAUACCAGCUGCUGAAA